UACAGAGGUCUCAAGCGUUUGUUCGGAUUCAUUGGGCGUAAAGGGUGUGUAGGUGGCGCCGUAAGUCGGGUGUGAAAUUUCGGAGCUUAACUCCGAAACUGCAUUCGAUACUGCGGUGCUUGAGGACUGGAGAGGAGACUGGAAUUCAUGGUGUAGCAGUGAAAUGCGUAGAGAUCAUGAGGAAGACCAGUGGCGAAGGCGGGUCUCUGGGCAGUAACUGACGCUGGAGGAGCGAAAGCGUGGGGAGCGAACAGG
rnacentral:rRNA from 1 species